GACGUAGGAUGCAAGCGUUGUCCGGAAUUAUUGGGCGUAAAGAGUUCGUAGGUGGUUACUUAAGUCUGGUGUUAAAGCCCGAAGCUCAACUUCGGCAUGGCAUUGGAAACUGGGUGGCUAGAGUAUGGUAGAGGUCUCGGGAAUUCCAGGUGUAGCGGUGAAAUGCGUAGAUAUCUGGAGGAACACCAAUAGCGAAGGCAGCUCGCUGGGACGUUACUGACACUGAGGCGCGAAAGCGUGGGGAGCGAACAGG
rnacentral:rRNA from 1 species